CUUAUCCAACAGACUCACAGCACUGAACUCAUUUGAUUGAAGCUUUAAAACUGGUAUCCCCUUCAUAAAAUGAUAAGUAAGAGCACACAAAUGAAUGAGUGGAUGUGUUAAAUUUAGGUCUUACAACCACAGACACGGCUUCUUUUCUCUGGAAGGCAGUGGAUAUAAGGCUUUUUUCUCUGAGGGGCUCAGAGUUCCACGUGCUUCUCAGAAAGCUGUUACAAGCACUGACUGUGACUAGCAAGGUAAAAUACCCCUCACUUCCAUGAGCUAAAAAAUGUGAUUAAAAACCAGGGUUAUUCCACCAAAUAUUGAUUUCUGAACUCUUAAAACUUUAUGAAUAAGAACUUGUUUUCUUUGCAUUAUUUGAGGUCUGAAAGCUCUGCAUCUUUUUUUUUAUUUCUGCCAUUUCUCAUUUUCUGCAAAUAAAUGCUCUAAAUUACAAUAUUUUUAUUUGGAA
rnacentral:lncRNA from 1 species